UGCAGGAUGGCGCAGCGGUAGCGCGGUUGAUUCAUAAUCAAUAGGUCGAAGGUUCGAGUCCUUCUUCUGCGA
rnacentral:tRNA from 1 species